ACGGAGGAUCCAAGCGUUAUCCGGAUUUAUUGGGUUUAAAGGGUGCGUAGGCGGCUUAUUAAGUCAGGGGUGAAAGACGGUGGCUCAACCAUCGCAGUGCCCUUGAUACUGAUGAGCUUGAAUACACUAGAGGUAGGCGGAAUGUGACAAGUAGCGGUGAAAUGCAUAGAUAUGUCACAGAACACCGAUAGCGAAGGCAGCUUACUAGACUGUAACUGACGCUGAUGCACGAAAGUGUGGGGAUCAAACAGGA
rnacentral:rRNA from 1 species